rnacentral:rRNA from 1 species
UAUCAAUAAGCGGAGGAAAAGAAACCAACAGGGAUUGCCCUAGUAACGGCGAGUGAAGCGGCAACAGCUCAAAUUUGAAAUCUGGCCCUCGGGUCCGAGUUGUAAUUUGUAGAGGAUGCUUUUGGUGCGGUGCCUUCCGAGUUCCCUGGAACGGGACGCCAUAGAGGGUGAGAGCCCCGUCUGGUUGGACACCAAGCCUCUGUAAAGCUCCUUCGACGAGUCGAGUAGUUUGGGAAUGCUGCUCUAAAUGGGAGGUAUAUGUCUUCUAAAGCUAAAUACCGGCCAGAGACCGAUAGCGCACAAGUAGAGUGAUCGAAAGAUGAAAAGCACUUUGAAAAGAGGGUUAAAUAGUACGUGAAAUUGUUGAAAGGGAAGCGCUUGUGACCAGACUUGAGCCCGGUUAAUCAUCCAGCCUUCUGGCUGGUGCACUUGGCCGGCUCAGGCCAGCAUCAGUUCGGCGUGGGGGAUAAAGACUUCGGGAAUGUGGCUCCUUCGGGAGUGUUAUAGCCCGUUGUGUAAUACCCUGUACUGGACUGAGGUUCGCGCAUCUGCAAGGAUGCUGGCGUAAUGGUCAUCAGCGACCCGUCUUGAAACACGGACCAAGGAGUCGUCCUCGUAUGCGAGUGUUCGGGUGUCAAACCCCUACGCGUAAUGAAAGUGAACGCAGGUGAGAGCUUCGGCGCAUCAUCGACCGAUCCUGAUGUUCUCGGACGGAUUUGAGUAAGAGCAUACGGGGCCGGACCCGAAAGAAGGUGAACUAUGCCUGUAUAGGGUGAAGCCAGAGGAAACUCUGGUGGAGGCUCGCAGCGGUUCUGACGUGCAAAUCGAUCGUCAAAUAUGGGCAUGGGGGCGAAAGACUAAUCGAACCUUCUAGUAGCUGGUUUC